rnacentral:rRNA from 1 species
GAUGAACGCUGGCGGCGUGCCUAACACAUGCAAGUCGGACGGUGGUGACCUUUCGGGGUGACCAUAGUGGCGCACGGGUGAGGAACACGUAGCUGACCUGCCCUGGAGCGCGGGAUAACCCUGGGAAACGAGGGCUAAGACCGCCUACGCUCGGCGACUGUAGAGGUCGUCGAGGAAAACCUUCGGGUGCUCUGGGAGGGGGCGUGCGGCCCAUCAGGUAGUUGGUGGGGUAAGAGCCUACCAAGCCGAC